CAAUAGCGUAUAUUAAAGUUGUUGCAGUUAAAAAGCUCGUAGUUGGAUUUCUGGUCGGAAGCUCCUGUCCUCUGAUGAGCGUACAAGUGCGUCCUACCAUCCUUCUGUUAACCUUUAAGGCUUUCGCGGCUUUCUAGGGGCUCAGAUACUUUACCUUGAGAAAAUUAGAGUGUUUCAGGCAGGCUAGCGCCGGAAUACAUUAGCAUGGAAUAAUGGAAUAGGACUUUUGCCUCUUCUGUUGGUCAUGAGGCUCGAGUAAUGAUUAAUAGGGAUAGUUGGGGGCAUUAGUACUUAACUGUCAGAGGUGAAAUUCUCGGAUUUGUUAAAGACUAACUUAUGCGAAAGCAUUUGCCAAGGAUGUUUUCAUUAA
rnacentral:rRNA from 1 species